rnacentral:rRNA from 1 species
CAGGACGAACGCUGGCGGCGCGCCUAACACAUGCAAGUCGAGCGAGAACCAGGGCUUCGGCCCUGGGGAAAGCGGCGAACGGGUGAGUAACACGUGGAUAACCUGCCCUCGGCACCGGAAUAGCCCGGGGAAACCCGGAUUAAUGCCGGAUAGCCCCACAUCCCCGCGGGGAACGUGGGAAAAGGUAGCCUCGGCCUCUGGCCGAGGAUGGGUCCGCGGUGGAUUAGCUUGUUGGCGGGGUAACGGCCCACCAAGGCGACGAUCCAUAGCUGGUCUGAGAGGACGAUCAGCCACACUGGGACUGAGACACGGCCCAGACUCCUACGGGAGGCAGCAGUGGGGAAUCUUGCGCAAUGGGCGAAAGCCUGACGCAGCGACGCCGCGUGCGGGAAGAAGGCCUUCGGGUUGUAAACCGCUUUCAGGAGGGACGAAGCCACUCGGGUGAACAGCCCAGAGGGUGACGGUACCUCCAGAAGAAGCCCCGGCUAACUACGUGCCAGCAGCCGCGGUAAUACGUAGGGGGCAAGCGUUGUCCGGAUUCAUUGGGCGUAAAGAGCGUGUAGGCGGCCAGGUAGGUCGGUUGUGAAAACUGGAGGCUCAAUCUUCAGACGUCGACCGAAACCAUCUGGCUAGAGUCCGGGAGAGGAGAGUGGAAUUCCUGGUGUAGCGGUGAAAUGCGCAGAUAUCAGGAAGAACACCCGUGGCGAAAGCGGCUCUCUGGAACGGUACUGACGCUGAGACGCGAAAGCGUGGGGAGCGAACAGGAUUAGAUACCCUGGUAGUCCACGCCGUAAACGAUGGGCGCUAGGUGUGGGAGGUGUCGACUCCUUCCGUGCCGCAGCUAACGCAUUAAGCGCCCCGCCUGGGGAGUACGGCCGCAAGGCUAAAACUCAAAUGAAUUGACGG